rnacentral:misc_RNA from 1 species
AAUUUCAGGUCAUUUGUUUAGAGGAGAACUUCUCUCCCUGUUCACCGGAAAGCAUGUGAUGAAGAAUGACAGCUGUUGUGAAGCAAUACAAUAAUGUCUUCUUUAGUUCUUCAGAAAAGGAAACUGUAGAGAUUGUGGAACCUCAUUUCAUUAAUAAGGAUUGCAAAGAUGUUAUCGAUCAGGCCAAAGUCCACUUGAUGUUGCGGGAGUUUUCUGAAUGCCUCACGACGUGUCUUGAAGGGCUUGAUAAAUGCAAACGGCUUUCCCAUGACGGAAUUUGUUAUGAAAGUUUUGUAAUUUUGGCAGUACAAGCAUACGGUGAACAGAAUAAAUGGAAAGAAGUUCUUCCUUUCAUUGAUAAAAUCUAUGGAAACAUCAGUCAGUGUCCUCCCACAGUGAUAAAACUUUGCAUUGGCCUUUUGUCAUGGGUUAAAGAAUACGAUGUGGCUCAAAAACAAGCAUGUCUGUGGCUGGAGAAUCCACAGAACUUGGAGAAGGAACACACAACGGUAGGGAAGCUGGUUGUUGAAGAAGUCUUAUUACCACAAAAGAAAUACUUGGAAAUUUCGCAUUUUGUUGAAAAGAUGCUUAAACUGAAUCCUGAAGAAAGAAAACAGAUACAAAAUUUUGUCUCGGAAGCAAAAAGAUACGAAGAUAGUAAAAUGGAGAAAUUUAAUAAUAUCAAAACACCUACAAAGAAAGAAGAAGAGCAGAAUGUGAUGCUGUCACUGAUAGAAAGAAUGAAGGCCUUCUUCCAGUCCUUGUCACCAUACUUCCGACAUGGUACAGGAAAGGUCCUAUUUCUUGGCCUCUCGUUGUAUUUGGUCUUCCUCCAUCUCAGGGUCGUCAUUUGACUGCGGUCAUGCUGGAGCACCGCCUUUAGUCGAACAAAUCGGCCCCCAGGACUUAUUCUUUAAUAUUCGGUUUUUGGUAUAAGGGAUAUUACACACAAGUUAUUUCAAAUAUAUCGGCACCAAUUCAAAAGCAAUGACUCAAAGACAUGAGAUGUCAACUCGAGAAAUCUCUCUUUCUCUUAAUUAUCUUCCAUAACUUAGCUGCUGUGAUCAUGAUUCAUAAUUAACAAAGUUGGUAUCAGUGAGAUAUAAUUCUUUCUCUUACCUAUUUUGUAAUAAUCUCUACACUUGUAUAUUGUAAACAAUAAUGUCGGAACUGUAUUUUAAAAAAAAUAUGGUAAAAAUCUUCAAUGCUAAAAUACUAAUGUGAAAUUUAAAUGCCAGAAGCUUUUCUUUAAGCCUUUAAUAAGAACAUCUUGCAUUUCUUUUUCUGGGAUGUUUUGUCUGCAAAAUAAUUUUAUUGUCUUAUUUUCAAAGCAUUUAAGAAAAAAAUUUUUUACAAGAAUAAUUAGCAUAUUUUGUUUUCAUUAUAAAACAAAAUAUUUUGUUUUGUAAAUAAUUCACCAAAUUGGUACCGGGUUUUUGUUUGUUGGUUUUUGUGUGUGUGGGUGUAUAAAAGUUUACUGAAGAAUGUAGAACUGGUAGAAUAAAGAGUACAUUCCAAAUUGUAUGUGUGCUGGGAUGUGUGUGUGUGUGUGUGUGUGUUAGUGAAUGGGUGUAACAGAAAUUUUGCUGGAAGACAUUUGUAAAAGAAAGAAAUUAUUUCAAUUUUAUU